rnacentral:tmRNA from 1 species
GGGGGCGAACCAGGAUCGACCGGAUGACCGAGGUGAACGGCGGCGUGUCGAGGUUGGUCAGCAGGCCUCGUAAAAAGCCGACCGAAACUUAACUGCCAACACCUUUGGUGCGCAGUACCGUCUCGCUGCCUAAACCACAGCAACGGCCUCGCGCUGGGUCUUCUCCCGAGAGAUCCGGCCGGGGACGACAAUUCGGGAUCGCCUGAGCCUAACCUCUUGUUGCGGCUUGGGUUAAAUUCAUGACAGGAUAAGCCGAACGAGACCCUGCCGACCGGGGCUCGGAGGCCGACAAUCAAACGAUCGGCUACGCACGUAGAUGCUCUCACUGACGCUUCUCGGGACGCGGGUGCAAUUCCCGCCGCCUCCAUUU